UACGUAGGGGGCAAGCGUUAUCCGGAUUUACUGGGUGUAAAGGGAGCGCAGACGGCAGUGCAAGUCUGGAGUGGAAGCCCGGGGCCCAACCCCGGAACUGCUCUGGAAACUGUGCGGCUAGAGUACUGGAGGGGCAGGCGGAAUUCCUAGUGUAGCGGUGAAAUGCGUAGAUAUUAGGAGGAACACCAGUGGCGAAGGCGGCCUGCUGGACAGUAACUGACGUUGAGGCUCGAAAGCGUGGGGAGCAAACAGG
rnacentral:rRNA from 1 species